GUAGGUGGCAAGCGUUGUCCGGAAUUAUUGGGGCGUAACGCGCGCGCAGGCGGUUCUUUAAGUCUGAUGUGAAAGCCCACGGGCUCAACCGUGGAGGGUCAUUGGAAACUGGAGAACUUGAGUACAGAAGAGGAAAGCGGAAUUCCACGUGUAGCGGUGAAAUGCGUAGAGAUGUGGAGGAACACCAGUGGCGAAGGCGGCUUUCUGGUCUGUAACUGAGGCUGAGGCGCGAAAGCGUGGGGAGCAAACAGGAUUAGAUACCCUGGUAGUCCACGCCGUAAACGAUGAGUGCUAAGUGUUAGGGGGUUUCCGCCCCUUAGUGCUGCAGCUAACGCAUUAAGCACUCCGCCUGGGGAGUACGGCCGCAAAGGCUGA
rnacentral:rRNA from 1 species